UACAGAGGGGGCAAGCGUUAUUCGGAAUUAUUGGGCGUAAAGGGCGCGUAGGCGGCUCGUUAAGUGGCUGGUGAAAUCCCGGGGCUCAACUCCGGGGCUGCCGGUCAUACUGGCGAGCUGGAGCACGGUAGAGGCGGAUGGAAUUCCCGGUGUAGCGGUGGAAUGCGUAGAUAUCGGGAAGAAUACCGGUGGCGAAGGCGUUCCGCUGGGCCGUUGCUGACGCUGAGGCGCGACAGCGUGGGGAGCAAACAGG
rnacentral:rRNA from 1 species